UAGUAAGCCAGGUUCAGCAGUUUGCCAA
rnacentral:piRNA from 1 species